UUUUAGUUUGCCUAUACAUCAUACUGUGUUGUGAUCGAGUGUUCCGAUAUGUUGUCCAAGUAUAAAUUCUAUUGUAAUGGUUAUGCUCUGUCAUAACAUUGUUUAUUAGAUAACUUCAAAAUUUUUGAGGCAAUGGCUUAUGACUCUCAUGCUUCACAGUUUCAGGUGGAAGACAAUAACUAUUAGCGUUGCAACCAGAGUUGCUUAGUGCUAAGCAACUCUUUACAAUGAUUUACAAGCAUUGAAAAGGGAUCUGCAAAAAAAAGUGUGGCAUUCCUAGCCCAGGAUAACUCCUUUUUAGGCUGAAUUCUAAAGCUC